AACGUUAAAAAUGACAACUCGGGCUCCUUGAAAAAUAAGAAUAAAACAUCAUAAUGCAGAGAGGCCUGGGGUGGCGGGUUUGGUGUGGGAGGGGGCUUGGAAUUACCGGUGACCCUCCAGGCCGCCGGGUUCAUCGUUUCCAGGGGCCCCGCUGGGUUUGUGAGCGCGCGUGAAGCUGGGACCCAGCCGCCCAGUAACUCUUCGAAGCAGGUGGGCAAGCCCCAAGCCAGGAAGUCAUUCAGGAACCCAGGCUGGCGGGGUGGCUCUGCCAUCUUCAAUGUGUGCUUUCCAGUUUGCUCUCACCAUUCCUAUUUCCAGCCAGAAAGAAGAAAGGAGGGAACACAACUGAGGGAGAUCGCUGUUGUUCACGUGAAUGCCACAUGCCUAGGAGGUGCUCAAAAUAUAUUUGUUGAAUGAAUAAAUGAAAGACUAGAAGUGGAUGACAGUGCUCUCUGAUGGCGAUGAUAAAUGAUAGAGUAGGGUGGACAGAAGGCCAAAGAAGAGGAGAUCCUGGAGGAAACUGAGAAAGUCUCAGAGGCA